GUGGGGAAUAUUGGACAAUGGGGGGAACCCUGAUCCAGCCAUGCCGCGUGUGUGAAGAAGGCCUUUUGGUUGUAAAGCACUUUAAGCGAGGAGGAGGCUACCGAGAUUAAUACUCUUGGAUAGUGGACGUUACUCGCAGAAUAAGCACCGGCUAACUCUGUGCCAGCAGCCGCGGUAAUACAGAGGGUGCAAGCGUUAAUCGGAUUUACUGGGCGUAAAGCGCGCGUAGGUUGCCAAUUAAGUCAACUGUGAAAUCCCCGAGCUUAACGUGGGAAGUGCAUACGAUACUGGUUGGCUAGAGUAUGGGAGAGGAUGGUAGAAUUCCAGGUGUAGCGGUGAAAUGCGUAGUGAUCUGGAGGAAUACCGAUGGCGAAGGCAGCCAUCUGGCCUAAUACUGACACGGAGGUGCGAAAGCAUGGGGAGCAAACAGGAUUAGAUACCCGAGUAGUCC
rnacentral:rRNA from 1 species